UGAGGAAUAUUGGUCAAUGGACGAGAGUCUGAACCAGCCAAGUAGCGUGAAGGAUGACUGCCCUAUGGGUUGUAAACUUCUUUUAUACGGGAAUAAAGUGAGGCACGUGUGCCUUUUUGUAUGUACCGUAUGAAUAAGGAUCGGCUAACUCCGUGCCAGCAGCCGCGGUAAUACGGAGGAUCCGAGCGUUAUCCGGAUUUAUUGGGUUUAAAGGGAGCGUAGGCGGACGCUUAAGUCAGUUGUGAAAGUUUGCGGCUCAACCGUAAAAUUGCAGUUGAUACUGGGUGUCUUGAGUACAGUAGAGGCAGGCGGAAUUCGUGGUGUAGCGGUGAAAUGCUUAGAUAUCACGCAGAACUCCGAUUGCGAAGGCAGCAUACCGGCGCUCAACUGACGCUCAGGCACGAAAGCGUGGGGUAUCGAACAGGAUUAGAUACC
rnacentral:rRNA from 1 species